UUUUUGUCAACCAAAAUUAAUUAGAGCUUAAAUGUUGUUUACAUAUAUGAUGUGAUGCGGUUAGACACGAAUUUUUCGUGCUAAAUUAUCGGUUUUAACAUUUGCACUACGAGAAAUUAAAGAUAAAGAAAAACUUGUGACAAAUCUGCCUAGUAACAUUUAAAAUGCAUCCAUUGUGAUUACAACAACCAAAUUUUAUGUGGACUUGUAGAUUAGAAAAAAAUAAAUUUGAAAGUCAUUGAAAAUUGUU
rnacentral:sRNA from 1 species